ACGGGGGGGGCAAGCGUUGUUCGGAAUUACUGGGCGUAAAGGGCGCGUAGGCGGUUUGCUAAGUCGGAUGUGAAAACUCUGGGCUCAACCCAGAGCCUGCAUCCGAAACUGGCAGGCUAGAGUUCUGGAGGGGGUAGCGGAAUUCCGAGUGUAGCGGUGAAAUGCGUAGAUAUUCGGAGGAACACCGGUGGCGAAGGCGGCUUCCUGGACCGGUUCUGACGCUGAAAAGCGAAAGCUAGGGUAGCAAACAGGA
rnacentral:rRNA from 1 species